AUAGGUGAUUACAUAGUCGCUGAAAUAGUAAUAUUUUAGAGGAAAGUCCGGACUCCUUAGGAACAUGAUGGCGGAUAACAUCCGCUCGGAGCAAUCCGCGUGCUAGUGCCACAGAAAAUAACCGCCUAACUAUUUAUAGAGGUAAGGGUGAAAAGGUGCGGUAAGAGCGCACCGCAAUUAUGGUAACAUGUAUUGGCAGAGGUAAACCACAUCGGGGAGCAAGAUUAAAAAUUAUGAAUAGAGCGUUCCUACUCCAUAGAGGUAAAUCGCAACGAGGUAUUGCGUGAGCAAUAUCCCAGAUAGAUGGCUAUGCUUUGACAGAAUCCGGCUUAUCGAUCACCUUAUUAU
rnacentral:RNase_P_RNA from 1 species